rnacentral:lncRNA from 1 species
CGCUCAUCCGGGAAACACUGAGAACAGGCUAAGCGGUCGCUGGUGGGCACUGGGAACACAGCAGUAGAGGCGAUGGUCAGAGAGCCAGAGUCUGAUGCGAUAGCAAUGGGGAAAAGGCGGUGGAUUUGAUCUUGAUCGGACUGGACCUGGUUCUUGCUCCACAGCUACAGAUUAGCCCCUUUAGCAAGGAGAGUGUGAUUAGGCUAGAAGAAGAUGACACAAGAAAAGCCGAAUGCCAACAGUUGACAUAACCAGCUCUAUUGGACGCCGAGUCUCUGCUCCUGCCGGCCACCACUUUCUAGUGCCAACUUGUGCUGGACACCGUAGAUGGUCAUCCCUAAGUCAGAGCAGCUGCAAUAUGGAGCGGCAUUUCCCCCGUAACUGGCUGUAA